rnacentral:rRNA from 1 species
GGACAGAGUGACAGGUGGUGCAUGGUUGUCGUCAGCUCGUGUCGUGAGAUGUUGGGUUAAGUCCCGCAACGAGCGCAACCCUUGAUCUUAGUUGCCAGCAUUCAUUUGGGCACUCUAAGGUGACUGCCGGUGACAAACCGGAGGAAGGUGGGGAUGACGUCAAAUCAUCAUGCCCCUUAUGACCUGGGCUACACACGUGCUACAAUGGACAGAACAAAGGGCUGCAAGACCGCAAGGUUUAGCCAAUCCCAUAAAUCUGUUCUCAGUUCGGAUCGCAGUCUGCAACUCGACUGCGUGAAGCUGGAAUCGCUAGUAAUCGCGGAUCAGCAUGCCGCGGUGAAUACGUUCCCGGGCCUUGUACACAC